GGGCGUACCUAAACAACCGGGCGGAAUUGAGUGUGGCUACUAUGUUAUGCGGUACAUGAAGGAUAUUAUUAAUGAUGACACACUUUCCUUUUCGACCAAGUGGGCGGUAAAGACUCGGAAAGGAUAUACCCAACAACAACUUGACGAGGUGCGCAUGGAGGUGGCCGACUACUUGCAGACCUUGUUGUAGAUUCUGACUAGGAUAGGGAUUUUGAGUAAGGCUAGAUUGCUAUUUUGGUUCACUUUGACUACUUACAGACCUUGUUGUAGAUUCUGACUAGGAUGAGGAUUUUGAGUCAGGCUACAUAGCUUUUGGUUCACUUUUUUUGUAGUAGAUGAAGUGAAUGCAGCAAUUAUGAACAAAAUUGCUGUAUAUAGGGCAUUGUUAGGCUAGCCUUGUAGUAGGUUAAUUGGGGUUUUGUUUUGCCUAUUUUGUGAACUGUCAAUGAUGAUGAUUUUGGACAAAAUACCCCAAUAUAUAUUGAAAUCACUUUGGUCAA